UACGUAGGGGGCAAGCGUUGUCCGGAAUCAUUGGUCCUAAAGAGCGUGUAGGCGGCCAGAUAAGUCCGCUGUGAAAUCUCGAGGCUCAACUUCGAGCUGUCGGUGGAAACUGUCUGGCUAGAGUCCGGAAGAGGAGAAUGGAAUUCCUGGUGUAGCGGUGAAAUGCGCAGAUAUCAGGAAGAACACCCGUGGCGAAGGCGGUUCUCUGGGACGGUACUGACGCUGAGACGCGAAAGCGUGGGGAGCGAACAGG
rnacentral:rRNA from 1 species